UACGUAGGGUGCAAGCGUUGUCCGGAAUUAUUGGGCGUAAAGAGCUCGUAGGCGGUUUGUUGCGUCGGCUGUGAAAUCCCGAGGCUCAACCUCGGGUCUGCAGUCGAUACGAGCAAACUAGAGUGUUGCAGGGGAGACUGGAAUUCCUGGUGUAGCGGUGAAAUGCGCAGAUAUCAGGAGGAACAUCAGUGGCGAAAGCGACUUCCUGGACCAAUACUGACGCUCAUGUACGAAAGCGUGGGGAGCAAACAGG
rnacentral:rRNA from 1 species